GGACGCGUAGCCAAGCGGUCCACGGCACCACACUCUUAACGUGGCGGCGCAAGCCGAUCGCAGGUUCGAAUCCUGCCGCGUCCA
rnacentral:tRNA from 1 species